rnacentral:rRNA from 1 species
AUGGCAGCAGCCGCUCUCCAGUGCUGCCCUGUACUGGGCUCACGGCCGGCAUCGUCCAUCUCACGAUCUUUCUCCGCAAGAACACCGGCGGUUAGCAGGACAGGGGAGGCCAGGAGGAGGAGGCUGCAGCAAUGCCGUUCCCAGUCUGCCGAGGGGCGAUCGCCGGGUAGCUCGCCUCCGCAGCUGGAGCGCCUCUUCUCAAAUGUCAACAAGGCAACCAUGAAGCACGAGCCAGGGAGUAUCACCGGUUCCGUCUUCCUUGUGGCCGGCACAACGGUCGGGGCAGGUAUCCUUGCGAUCCCUGCCGUCACACAAGAAGCUGGAUUCUUGGCCUCAGCAGUCACAUGCGUUUUCUGCUGGACAUAUAUGGUUGUAACAGGGCUGUUAGUUGCUGAAGUAAAUGUCAAUACAAUGUGUGAACUAGGAUCUGGAAGUGUCUCCCUGGUUUCAAUGGCCAAGCGCACUCUAGGGACAGCUGGAGUGAGAACAGUUUGCUUUUCAUAUUUGUUUAUACAUUAUGCACUUCUUGUUGCGUAUGUGGCACGCUCUUCAGAGAUCUUAACAAACUCACUGGGCAUACCAUUAUGGGAGAGUGCUACCCUGUUUUCACUGGCUUUUGGCGGACUAUGUUACUUCGGAAGUCAGCGAGUCAUUGGUGCCGUGAAUGGUUUUUUGGUGUUCAGUAUCAUAGCAUCCUUCACAGUUCUUGUGGUGGUGGCAAGUGGAAACAUACAGUGGAGUUCUCUUCUCGAAACGAAUUUUGCUGCUGCUCCCCAAAGUAUACCAAUAAUUGCUCUUUCAUUUGUAUAUCAGAAUGUAGUUCCUGUUCUCUGCACAAAUUUGGAGGGAGACCUGUCAAAAGUAAGGAAGGCCAUUGUAUUAGGUACUGCCAUACCCCUUGCUCUGUUUCUCGUAUGGGAUGCUGUCAUCCUGGGGACAAUCCCGGGGUUUGCAGAAAGUGGGACUAUCACUGAUCCGUUACAACAACUUAGGUCAAGCAAUGGUACAGUGGGGCCUAUUGUUGAGGCAUUCUCAUUUCUGGCAAUAGGCACAUCAUACAUCGGAUUUGUUCUGGGACUCACAGACUUCAUCGCAGACUUGCUCAAACUACCAAGUGGACAGAACAAACCUCUGACAUACCUUGUAACUUUGUUCCCUCCACUUGUUCUGUCACUGCUUGAUCCAGAGAUAUUUUUCAAGGCAUUGGACUUUGCAGGAACUUAUGGAGUUCUAGUACUCUUUGGAGUUUUCCCUGCAGCUAUGUCUUGGUCAGAGAGAUACUCAAAUGACUUGGAAGCUCCUAUAUCCCCAAUAGUCCCAGGAGGAAAAUUAACCCUCUCAUUUGUUAUGGGGGGUGCCUUGCUUGUAAUAUUUUCAGAGGUUUUCAAGGACAUAAUGCAGUUCCAAGGACUAAAUUGA